GGCGAACGGGUGAGUAACACGUGGGCAAUCUGCCCUUCACUCUGGGACAAGCCCUGGAAACGGGGUCUAAUACCGGAUAACACUCUGUCCCGCAUGGGACGGGGUUAAAAGCUCCGGCGGUGAAGGAUGAGCCCGCGGCCUAUCAGCUUGUUGGUGGGGUGAUGGCCUACCAAGGCGACGACGGGUAGCCGGCCUGAGAGGGCGACCGGCCACACUGGGACUGAAACACGGCCCAGACUCCUACGGGAGGCAGCAGUGGGGAAUAUUGCACAAUGGGCGAAAGCCUGAUGCAGCGACGCCGCGUGAGGGAUGACGGCCUUCGGGUUGUAAACCUCUUUCAGCAGGGAAGAAGCGAGAGUGACGGUACCUGCAGAAGAAGCGCCGGCUAACUACGUGCCAGCAGCCGCGGUAAUACGUAGGGCGCAAGCGUUGUCCGGAAUUAUUGGGCGUAAAGAGCUCGUAGGCGGCUUGUUGCGUCGGUUGUGAAAGCCCGGGGCUUAACCCCGGGUCUGCAGUCGAUACGGGCAGGCUAGAGUGUGGUAGGGGAGAUCGGAAUUCCUGGUGUAGCGGUGAAAUGCGCAGAUAUCAGGAGGAACACCGGUGGCGAAGGCGGAUCUCUGGGCCAUUACUGACGCUGA
rnacentral:rRNA from 1 species